GCAAACUUGGUCAUUUAGAGGAAGUAAAAGUCGUAACAAGGUUUCCGUAGGUGAACCUGCGGAAGGAUCAUUAUUGAAUUCAUUGGUUUUGAGUUGUUGCUGGCUUUCAAAGAGCAUUGUGCACAUUCAGGCCACUUUUAUUCAAUCACCAUCUGUGAAUCUUUUGUAGAUCUCAAAAGACCAACAUUCCAAAGCUCGGCUAUCCUACACUGAGCUUGGGCCUCGAGAGAUAUUGCUGUGCAAAGAUACAUAAAAGAUGUAUAUAAAAGCCUGCUUCUCUUAUUGGAGAUUUUUGGAUCUAUGCUUUUUAUUAAACACUUAAAAUUUGAAUGUUAUAAAGGCCUAUGUCCUUUACAUUUUUAAAACAUUACAACUUUCAACAACGGAUCUCUUGGCUCUCGCAUCGAUGAAGAACGCAGC
rnacentral:misc_RNA from 1 species